GAUGAACGCUAGCGGCGGGCUUAAUACAUGCAAGUCGAGGGGCAGCACGAUGUAGCAAUACAUUGGUGGCGACCGGCGGACGGGUGCGUAACACGUAUGCAACUUGCCCUAUACUAGGGAAUAGCACGAAGAAAUUCGGAUUAAUACCCUAUAACAUCUGAAAAGGCAUCUUUUUGGGUUCAAAGCUCCGGCGGUAUAGGAUGGGCAUGCGGUCGAUUAGCUUGUUGGUGAGGUAAUAGCUCACCAAGGCGACGAUCGAUAGGGGGCCUGAGAGGGUGAUCCCCCACACUGGUACUGAGACACGGACCAGACUCCUACGGGAGGCAGCAGUAAGGAAUAUUGGUCAAUGGGCGCAAGCCUGAACCAGCCACGCCGCGUGAAGGAAGACGGCCCUAUGGGUUGUAAACUUCUUUUCUACGGGAAUAAACCUCAGGACGUGUCCUGAGCUGAAGGUAUCGUAGGAAUAAGGAUCGGCUAACUCCGUGCCAGCCGCCGCGGUAACAC
rnacentral:rRNA from 1 species